rnacentral:misc_RNA from 1 species
CAGCACCAAGAUAUGGCUUUGACCAAAUCAACUAGCAGAAUCAUCCAAAAAACACAAUGGGCAUCUCAGUUUAUGCAAGUAAAGAAAAUAGUGAGCACCAAAACGGAAUUCAGAGAGGUCUUUGUUGAGAAGGAACACGGCCCUGUGAAGGUGGUUAUGAAGGUUUCAACAAAUUGGUGAAAAAAAGAGGUUCUGCAGCAUUUUCGGUGGGCAUUGAAAGCGAAAGGAAAAGAAGAGAGAGUGAACGGAAGUUGAUGAGGUGAGAGGAGAAGAAAGAAUGUAGAAAUAGGCCAUUUUCAUGAGUAUUUUGGGAGCCGAAGAGGUUAGGCAGGCAGGUGAUGAUGGUUGCCGGGGGGUGGGGG